GAGUCGCUCGCGCGCCCCGCCGCCCGCCUGGCGACAGCUCCGCCGCGCACGCACAUGGAGGGGAGCGCGAGCCCCCCGGAAAAGCCCCGCGCCCGCCCUGCGGCUGCCGUGCUGUGCCGGGGCCCGGUAGAGCCGCUGGUCUUCCUGGCCAACUUUGCCUUGGUCCUGCAGGGCCCGCUCACCACGCAGUAUCUGUGGCACCGCUUCAGCGCCGACCUCGGCUACAAUGGCACCCGCCAAAGGGGGGGCUGCAGCAACCGCAGCGCGGACCCCACCAUGCAGGAAGUGGAGACCCUUACCUCCCACUGGACCCUCUACAUGAACGUGGGCGGCUUCCUGGUGGGGCUCUUCUCGUCCACCCUGCUGGGAGCUUGGAGCGACAGUGUGGGCCGCCGCCCGCUGCUAGUGCUGGCCUCGCUGGGCCUGCUGCUCCAGGCCCUAGUGUCCGUUUUUGUGGUGCAGCUGCAGCUCCACGUCGGCUACUUCGUGCUGGGUCGCAUCCUUUGUGCCCUCCUCGGCGACUUCGGUGGCCUUCUGGCUGCUAGCUUUGCGUCCGUGGCAGAUGUCAGCUCCAGCCGCAGCCGCACCUUCCGGAUGGCCCUGCUGGAAGCCAGCAUCGGGGUGGCUGGGAUGCUGGCAAGCCUCCUCGGGGGCCACUGGCUCCGGGCCCAGGGUUAUGCCAACCCCUUCUGGCUGGCCUUGGCCUUGCUGAUAGCCAUGACUCUCUAUGCAGCUUUCUGCUUUGGUGAGACCUUAAAGGAGCCAAAGUCCACCCGGCUCUUCACGUUCCGUCACCACCGAUCCAUUGUCCAGCUCUAUGUGGCUCCCGCCCCAGAGAAGUCCAGGAAACAUUUAGCCCUCUACUCACUGGCCAUCUUCGUGGUGAUCACUGUGCACUUUGGGGCCCAGGACAUCUUAACCCUUUAUGAACUAAGCACACCCCUCUGCUGGGACUCCAAACUAAUCGGCUAUGGUUCUGCAGCUCAGCAUCUCCCCUACCUCACCAGCCUGCUGGCCCUGAAGCUCCUGCAGUACUGCCUGGCCGAUGCCUGGGUAGCUGAGAUCGGCCUGGCCUUCAACAUCCUGGGGAUGGUGGUCUUUGCCUUUGCCACUAUCACGCCUCUCAUGUUCACAGGUAAAGUGUGUGGGCUCAGGGACAGCUUGUCCCAGAGGCACUGGGUAAGAACUGGGGGCCGGCCACUCGCUGCCCCCAGAUGUGGUUCAUUCCUGUGUCUUUGGAAACAUAGUUAUGCCCCCAGCCUGCACUGGAGAACAGACAACUAAGAAAUCCCUCAAAAAUGCCAUCUUUGAUACAUGGAAAAUAUAGACCUUCAGUAGCUAAAGUAAUUAACCCACUGUUAUCAACCAUUAAUAUUGUUAGUAAUAUAGAGCAAAAGACAAAAGUGUGGCUCAUACACUAAUUGCUUUACCCCUU
rnacentral:sRNA from 1 species